AAGGGUAUAGCUUAGUGGUAGAGUGCAUGCUUAGCACUCAAGAGGUCCUGGGUUCAAUCCCUAGUACCUCCA
rfam:Camelus ferus unplaced genomic scaffold scaffold688, whole genome shotgun sequence.